UACGUAGGGUGCAAGCGUUAAUCGGAAUUACUGGGCGUAAAGCGUGCGCAGGCGGUUGUGUAAGUCAGAUGUGAAAUCCCCGGGCUUAACCUGGGAAUUGCAUUUGUGACUGUACGGCUAGAGUGUGUCAGAGGGGGGUAGAAUUCCACGUGUAGCAGUGAAAUGCGUAGAGAUGUGGAGGAAUACCGAUGGCGAAGGCAGCCCCCUGGGAUAACACUGACGCUCAUGCACGAAAGCGUGGGGAGCAAACAGG
rnacentral:rRNA from 1 species